CCAGGACAGUGGAGAGAUGGACAGCCACAAGGACAGCCUCCUUUAGAUUGUGGGAUGGAGCCGGCACCUCUGAGGGGAUGAGAUUUACACGGAGACCAAAGGGACGCAGCUGCUUGCAGAAUGGGAGAAAGAGAAGCUGAAGCCAAGGGAACAUGUACAACGCCUCCAAGACAAGAAAAUCAUGGAGCAGAAGACUCCUCUGGUCUCCAAGGCCAACAGGCUCCCCGUCCUCCGUGGUCCUUAGCUCUGCUGUAGUUUCAAAUACACCUGCAGCUUUCAGCCGCCCACCUCAAACAGGAAUACCAAGUACAGCCUGAAAGGGGUAUUUAUGCCCUCCAGACAACCUUUAAUUUGGAGGGCACAAAUGCAGCCUCCUAUCUGUUAACAGCUUUGGGAGACACCCAGUGUCAGUCUCAGGAGCGCUCAGCAACCCACAGAGUGCUUGCUUUUUGUUGUCUCCUUCUCUGUCCCACUCUCCUCUUUGAUUCCUGCCCAGUCUUCAGCCAUGUCAUUUCAAAGACGCAGGCGUUAAAGGAAUUGAUAAAAGAUCAGAAAUAGAGUAAGCACGGAGAGUCAAACAAGACGGGGUUGGAAUUGUGGGGUGGCGCCAGAGCACAGAGUUGGAGGCCACAGUGAGCAUGUGCCCUCUGUUUCUUGGCAGAGAGCAGGCGCUGUUGGGACAGACACAGUAGGUAGUCCAGGCAGCAGAGAACAGGGCUUCCCACUGUGAGGUUAACUGAGCCGAAGAAAUGAAACGGGCAGUUUGCGAUAUAUUUAAAAGCAGGAUGGCUGACACUUGCUUAUUAAUUGGCUGAAAAAAAAAAAAAAAAAAAAAAGCAGAGGGAGGACCAGCGAUGAUUUUUUGUUUGAGGAACUGAAUGGAUGGCAGUAGCCUGAGAGUGGAAGGAACAAGAUUGGGCAGAAGUCCAGCAUGCUGGAAUCUCCCAAGAUCCCAGACCCCUAAGUGAGCUCACACCUUAGGAGAAUUCACCGUAGGUGUGCUUUGUCUUACUCUGCCUCUAGGCAUUCCAGGCCCAUUACCUGGGUCCAGGACGCUGGAAACUGUUGCUGGGGAAUCCUGAGAUGAAGAUGUUGAACUCUCAGCUCCUCCUGCACCAUGCCUGCCUGGAUGCUGCCAUGUUCCUGCCUUGAUGAUAAUGGACUGAGCCUCUGAACCUACAGGGUUUCUCCACACAGCCCUGGCUGUUUGGGAACUUAGAUAUUCCCCCGCCACUGCCUCUUCAUCUGCUGGGAUUAACGUGGGAACUGCCCCGCUCACCUUGUGUCCUGCGUUUUAAGUGAUGUGCUUCUCUCUUCAGGAUUCUGUUUUGGGGGUGUCAGCUAUACUGUGACCAGAAUCUGGGAGCACUUAGAUGCUGGGUGGUCCUGGCUCGGGCCUUUGUCUAAAGACUUGACAAGCACUGACUGUUGGACUUCCUCUCUGUGACUAGCCAACUGCCUGAAGACUCUCCUGUGCUCUCUUCCUGGGCUGGUUGAACUUCCUCUAAGGAGUGUGGGUGGCUCCCCUCAGUCUGACCCAGCAGCCAGAGAGCUAGAGGGAGUUACAAUGCCUUUUGUGUGCUAAGCACAGUUCUUCAUUUCUACCAUCUUCUACUCAUUAGAAGACCCCUACAUCCAAUCAACAUCCAAGACGAUGGGAAUUCCCCACUGACUUUUGGAGGCUCUGCCUGGGAGGAAGCCAAGCUAAGAUCCAGGUAAAAGAACAGAAUCCUGUCAGGUGUGAAGGAAACUCCAUUUCCUCACACUCCAAAAGGCAGAAGGGGCAAAUGGCUACCUGUGGAACCUAUUAGCAUAUGGUGGCACUUUCUGGCCUCCAGGCUCCUUCAGUAUCACAAGUACCUGUUCGACAUUUCAGAGUCCCCGCUAGCAUCCUAGCCCUCACCUCCUCCCUGCCCUAAACUCCAGCUCACAGGCUCUCCUUCCCACAGCUGCCCAUGCGGCUCAUUAUAACCCUGUAUUUUGACUGUAGGCCAUCUUUUUGUCUUCCUUGCCCCCUCUCUUCCUCUCUCCUCUGUCAUCACCCUCUGCCACCAGGUAGGGCACAUUUCCACUGGGGCUAUGAAUUGUAUAUUUUUCUAUGCAGCACACACCCGUUGAAAGUUCCCUCUGGACACCCCUCAUUCUUUGUCUCCCUGUCUCUCUGUCUAUCUGUCUGAAUCUCUCUCCCCUGCUGUAGUCUCCCCUCCCCCAGCCUGAAACCUGCUUGCUCAGGGGUGGAGCUUCC